ensembl:snoRNA
CCCGAGACUAGAGUCACAUCCCGACAGUUCUUGUCCUGGUGUGCUACAGUCCUCGGAGAGAAUCUGCUGGUCUCGAUUCACUGGCGAGGGCAGUCAGUGCCCCUGUGAGUGCCCAGAUCAGAAACAUGC